rnacentral:rRNA from 1 species
UGAAUCCUACGGGGGGCAGCAGUGAGGAAUAUUGGUCAAUGGACGAGAGUCUGAACCAGCCACGUAGCGUGAAGGAUGACUGCCCUAUGGGUUGUAAACUUCUUUUAUAAAGGAAUAAAGUGAGGCACGUGUGCCUUUUUGUAUGUACUUUAUGAAUAAGGAUCGGCUAACUCCGUGCCAGCAGCCGCGGUAAUACGGAGGGUCCGAGCGUUAUCCGGAUUUAUUGGGUUUAAAGGGAGCGUAGAUGGGUUGUUAAGUCAGUUGUGAAAGUUUGCGGCUCAACCGUAAAAUUGCAAUUGAUACUG